rnacentral:rRNA from 1 species
CCUACGGGGGGCAGCAGUGGGGAAUAUUGGACAAUGGGGGGAACCCUGAUCCAGCCAUGCCGCGUGUGUGAAGAAGGCCCUCGGGUUGUAAAGCACUUUCAGUGAGGAAGAACGCCUGGUGGUUAAUACCCAUCAGGAAAGACAUCACUCACAGAAGAAGCACCGGCUAACUCCGUGCCAGUAGCCGCGGUAAUACGGAGGGUGCGAGCGUUAAUCGGAAUUACUGGGCGUAAAGCGCGCGUAGGUGGCUUGAUAAGCCGGUUGUGAAAGCCCCGGGCUCAACCUGGGAACGGCAUCCGGAACUGUCAAGCUAGAGUGCAGGAGAGGAAGGUAGAAUUCCCGGUGUAGCGGUGAAAUGCGUAGAGAUCGGGAGGAAUACCAGUGGCGAAGGCGGCCUUCUGGACUGACACUGACACUGAGGUGCGAAAGCGUGGGUAGCAAACAGGAUUAGAUACCCGGGUAGUC